UAUUGGUCAAUGGCCGGAAGGCUGAACCAGCCGAGUCGCGUGAGGGAAUAAGGCCCUACGGGACGUAAACCUCUUUUGUCAGGGAGCAAGGACGUCCAAGAGGGGACGGAAGGAGAGUACCGGAAGAAAAAGCAUCGGCUAACUCCGUGCCAGCAGCCGCGGUAAUACGGAGGAUGCGAGCGUUAUCCGGAUUUAUUGGGUUUAAAGGGUGCGUAGGCGGCCUGCCAAGUCAGCGGUAAAAUUGCGGGGCUCAACCCCGUAGAGCCGUUGAAACUGCCGGGCUCGAGUGGGCGAGAAGUAUGCGGAAUGCGUGGUGUAGCGGUGAAAUGCAUAGAUAUCACGCAGAACCCCGAUUGCGAAGGCAGCAUACCGGCGCCCUACUGACGCUGAGGCACGAAAGUGCGGGGAUCA
rnacentral:rRNA from 1 species